rnacentral:rRNA from 1 species
UGGGGAAUAUUGCACAAUGGGCGCAAGCCUGAUGCAGCCAUGCCGCGUGUGUGAAGAAGGCCUUCGGGUUGUAAAGCACUUUCAGCGGGGAGGAAGGCGGUGAGGUUAAUAACCUCAUCGAUUGACGUUACCCGCAGAAGAAGCACCGGCUAACUCCGUGCCGGCAGCCGCGGUAAUACGGAGGGUGCAAGCGUUAAUCGGAAUUACUGGGCGUAAAGCGCACGCAGGCGGUCUGUCAAGUCGGAUGUGAAAUCCCCGGGCUCAACCUGGGAACUGCAUUCGAAACUGGCAGGCUAGAGUCUUGUAGAGGGGGGUAGAAUUCCAGGUGUAGCGGUGAAAUGCGUAGAGAUCUGGAGGAAUACCGGUGGCGAAGGCGGCCCCCUGGACAAAGACUGACGCUCAGGUGCGAAAGCGUGGGGAGCAAACAGG